rnacentral:rRNA from 1 species
AACGAACGCUGGCGGCGCGCCUAAUACAUGCAAGUCGAACGAGAAGCUGUAGCAAUACAGUUGUACAGUGGCGAACGGGUGAGGAAUACAUGGGUGACCUACCCUCGAGUGGGGAAUAACCAGCCGAAAGGUUGGCUAAUACCGCGUACGCUUCCCAGUCUACGGGUUGGGAAGGAAAGCGAUGCCGUGGGUAUCGCGCUCAAGGUUGGGCUCAUGUCCUAUCAGCUUGNGGUGGGGUAACGGCUCACCAAGGCAACGACGGGUAGCUGGUCUGAGAGGACGAUCAGCCACACUGGCACUGCGACACGGGCCAGACUCCUACGGGAGGCAGCAGUAAGGAAUAUUGCGCAAUGGGCGAAAGCCUGACGCAGCGACGCCGCGUGGGGGAUGAAGGUCUUCGGAUUGUAAACCCCUUUCGGGAGGGAAGAUGGAACGAGCAAUCGUUCGGACGGUACCUCCAGAAGCAGCCACGGCUAACUUCGUGCCAGCAGCCGCUGUAA